GGCGCGGUUGGCGCAGGCGCAGGAGGCGCUCGAGGCCGGCGACAUCGGUGAGGCGUACCGGUGGUUCAACCACUCCAUGCUC
rnacentral:tRNA from 1 species